rnacentral:lncRNA from 1 species
CAGCCUGACCAACAUAGUGAAACUCCGUCUCUACUAAACACAAAAAAAUUAGUGUGGCAUGGUGGUGGGCGCCUGUAAUUCCAGCUACUUAGGAGGCUGAGGCAGGAGAAUCGCUUGAACCCGGGAGGCAGAGGUUGCAGUGAACCGAGAUUUAGCAAUUGCCGGCUCUCCUGAGCCCCACACGGCUUGUAUCAUGGCUAGUGAACUUCAGAGAGAUGCAUAAGGGCCAGUGAAGUAUUUUCAGUUCUGAAGCCACAGCCUGUGCCAUGUGGGGGUUUUCACCCUGCACUGAGGUGAUGCAUCUGGCUAGGCUCCAGGGCUUUGUGAGCAUUUUCCUGAGGGUCCCAUCUAUGGCUACCAUCAUGCAGUGUAACUUGUUUUCAACAUCAACAACGAGCUGCUCAAAGAAUAAGUUCUCUUUUGAGACCAGCCUGGCCAACAUGGUGAAACCCUGUCUCUACUAAAAAUACAAAAAUUAGCCAGGCAUGGUGGUGCAAGCUUGUAAUCCCAGCUACUCAGGAGGCUGAGAAGGAAGAAUCACUUGAACCUGGGAGGCAGAGGUUGCAGUGAGCCGAGAUCGUGCCACUGCACUCCAGUCUGGGUUACCGCGUGAGACCCUGUCUCAAAAAAAAUAAAAUAAAAAUAAAAGAUUAAGUUCUCACAACAGCAGGCUGGAGGCAGGGUGACAUUAGCACUCUUCAUACCACUGUCAGUCCACAGUGGGGUCCAAAGUCAAACAAAAGACCCCAACACCAGGAGUGUUUUGGUAUUCUUUUCCGAUAACAUCUUUGUGGAUCAAAUUCAUCCCAGACUUUUCAACUCACUGAAUCCUCACUGCUGCCCAAGGGACUGUGCACUACUUUCCAGAGUAGCAAUGCACAAACUGAGGCUUGGAGAGGGUCAUCGCUGGCCCAAGGUCUCAUAGCCCCUGGCUUCUUAAUCACUAUGCAACACUGCCACGGGCCAGGGCUCUGGGCUGGGCUGCUAGGCCCUGUGCUUUAAGGGUAACCAUGAUCUGCUCUCAUAGGCA